GCCUCUGUAGCAUAGUAGCUAUUGCGCGACAUUGGUAAUGUCGAGGUCGCGAGUGCAACUCUCGCCAGAGGCU
rnacentral:tRNA from 1 species